AUUGAGUUUUCCAACUACUGGCUGUGAUCUGCCUUCCCCUUCCAGCGUAGUUUUCUAGAUUUGAUCCAACGUUCAUUCACUUUCGUAUGUCACGUAGGCGUCAUAAAUACAACACUUUUGCACGCGCGUCUUUAAUUCCUGUUUCUCUCCCCACUCUUCCGAUCUGUAACAGGUGAAGAACCCUAAUCGACCUCUUCAAUUUCAAUAUUACUCUGCAACAGAACACAAUUUUAGGGGAAAAAAAUCAUACCCGCCUUCUCAUAUUCAUCUUACCGUUUUCUGUUUUUAAUUUCUCAUCUUAAUUUUUGCAAUUAAACCCUUCAAAAAUAUAAUCGGCAGCUUUCAAUUGAUUUUUUCCUACAAAUUGUCUGAUCCAGUUCGGAUAGAGCAUCAAUUCGAUCCCUUCCACACGGUUUUUCGAGGAGAGUAAAUUUUUCAUGAGCAAGAAUUCAAGGAGUCUGUUGAACUGUCUUCCAAAGAGGCUCUUAAAGAGAACUGUCUUCCAAAGAGGCUCUUAAAGAGGAUGACCGAGAAGAUGACCGUGAAAGGAGAAGACAAUUUCUUAGAUGGGUUAUUGGAAGAAAAGAAUAGAGUGUCUGUGAACCAAGGAGAAGACAAUUUCUUAGAGAAAUGGGAGACUGGGGAUGAAGAUGAACUAGAACGUAAUUAUGAAGGGUUGGGCAACAUUAGCAUGAGUGUCAAACGGGGUGAGUAUUUGCAAAGCCUAACAAAAAGAGACUCACAUUUGCAGCUUCUGAAUGUUCAGCGGUUAGAAACAUCUGCUGUGAUGGGAGUUGCAUUGCAAGAGUUAUUAAGCGCCAUCGACAAUAAAUUAGAUUUACAAGGAGUGGUUGAAAAGAGAAUGAUGAUUGCUUCAAUCGUAAAUGGAUACCUCCUCGGGAAGCUAAUAAUAGCAAUCCAAUUAUUUAAAAUCUAAUUGGAUUUUGUGUUGGAUUCAUGAGAAAAUGGGGAAGUCAAUUUCCGGCAAUUGAAUUUAUACAUCGCUAGAGUUAAAAGGCUGUAAUGAUUCAAGUAUACCUGUCAUCAUAAAUCAAAAAUCCCUUAGGCUCCACAGUAUUUGGUAGAUCGAUCACUUUGAGUGCUCAGGUUAUAUAUGGCACGAAGCGCGGUGAGCUGCUAGGAAUGUUACCUAGGCCUGCCAUAUAUGUGAAUUGUGCGAGCAGAAUUUGAGGAACCUGCAGAUGUUGGAAUUUGCAAGUGAUGACAGUAGCAUUCCAGUAAGACGUUCAAUCACCUGAAGCGCAAAGAAAAGCGUGAAAUUAGGGUCGUUGUAGCCCGUAGCAAUGGACGAAACCUAUGUUCGGUAGCAAAUAGAACGAAAUGUCAUAAUCCCAGCUCAGAUAUAUGGGUGCGUAAAUUAAGGUUAAAGUUCUGUUCGUUAAGUUGAAACCAAUGUCCUCCAACGAACGUACGAAUUCGCUGUUGGUUUUUAAAAGCAUGUGACAAUUAUGGAUCUAGGACAACUAAAACCAGAUGAGAAGAAUCCCCUCUACUUUUUAUUUUUUCAAUACUGGAGAACAUUUGAUCAUAAACGCUACAAACUAAUGGAUAGAGAGAAUCUCAUGAUAAUGGUACAGUUCAGGAUCAGGUCAGAAUCUGGCAAGACCAACAAGCUUUCCUAAACAAGCUUUCAAUUGGAUUCAAACUCCCCGCUGAAUGAGAUAAGUCAUAGCUUUGAGUGAAAUACAGAUGGUGUGAAGAUGCAUAGUAGUUUCGUCCAGAUAGAUGGUUGGACCAGGAUCGAUAUUUCAGAUGGGGAAAAAUCUUUCAAGUUCAGCAUUUCAGGUGCGUAACAUGAAGCCAUCAACAAACCAUAUCUAAUUCUUUUUUGGGAGAAACCUCAUAUCAGGUAAAGGUAAGUCCAGGUCAGUUGCCAAUGUGCUCGCCAAGGUAUUUUUGAGAAAGUGCCAAUGGUUUGUUUUAGGAUUGCUGUUCGAUAUAAGUGGCUCAAUUUAUUAAACAUACACGUCUUUUUACAAAAAUUAGUAUGAAUAUUGCAGGCAGGACCUUGAUAUGUUACUAAAGUAGGCUUGAUAUAAACAAUUUCACUUUUGCUGCGUAUCAAAGAGAUGGCUAACAGAUAAACCACUAGGAAUACUGCAUAAGAUAACAGCUCUGUUUUCAACACAACUGAAGUAUAAAUGUAUAAUAGUUGGAGACUGUUUGGGGGCCAAUCAUUAGCUACGCCAUUCUUUGGGAAAUUUGGAGUGAGCGCAAUGCUAGGGCCUUUGGUGGUCGCGCUAAGGAAGAGAAUGAAGUGAUUUUUCUUAUAAAACAAACUGUAAUUCUCUGGAGAGAGGAGGAUACAUUUAAUUUUUUAGAUGUAAACCAAAUUCGUUAGUGGUAUUGUAAAUUGUAUCUUCACUAGAAAUAACCCGUGCCAGCAUGAGACGAAAUAAUUUUUGGUCAGAAUGAUUUAAUAAAUACUACAAACUAUGAUAAGAUUUAUUUUGACCCAU